ACACGCAUGACACACUGCAUAUCAAUAAGCGGAGGAAAAGAAACUAACAAGGAUUCCCUUAGUAACGGCGAGUGAAGCGGGAAGAGCUCAAAUUUGAAAUCUUCAAGGUUCUACCUUGACGAAUUGUAGUUUAAAGAAGUGUUUUCUGUUGGAGUUUUGGUAAAAGUUCUUUGGAAUAGGACAUCAUAGAGGGUGAGAAUCCCGUAUUUGGUCAUUCCUCCUAGCGUUGUGAUACACUUUCAACGAGUCGGAUUGUUUGGGAAUGCAGUCCAAAAUGGGUGGUAAAUUUCAUCUAAAGCUAAAUAUUGGCGAGAGACCGAUAGCGAACAAGUACCGUGAGGGAAAGAUGAAAAGAACUUUGAAAAGAGAGUUAAACAGUACGUGAAAUUGUCAAAAGGGAAGCGUUUGACACCAGUGUUGUUUUUCCGAAAAUCAAUUAAAAAAGGCCGGAUUUUGUGUUGUAUUGACCUUAAAAGCUUUCUUCACUCUUUUCUUGUCUUUUUUAAUGCACUUUUCGUUUAACAAGUCAACAUCAGUUUCUUUUGUUGUAAAAGGGUCAUUGGAAGGUGGCUUUCUUUUCGGAGAAAGUGUUUAUAGCCUUUUACCUCUGCAAUCGGAGAGAUUGAGGACAGCAGCGUAGACUCUUCGGGGUUAGAUACACUUGUGCUAAGCUAUAGCCUUGUAUAGACAACUUGUUGACUAUGCUCAGUCAUGUAGCUUACUCGCUUGUGCUAUUUUACCUACGCUUAGGAUGUUGAGCGCAUGUCUCUCUCU
rnacentral:rRNA from 1 species